UCUUAUGGAUGAACAAAGAAAGUAGUUUCUUGAGAUGGAAAAAAACUCUUGGUGAAGGUUCUGUGAA
rnacentral:pre_miRNA from 2 species